AGUAACGAUCCGGAAACGGGUGCUAAUACCGCAUAGUUUUCUUGAUCGCAUGAUUGAGAAAGGAAAGACGGCCUUUGUGCUGUUGCUUAUGGAUGGACCCGCGGCGUAUUAGUUAGUUGGUGAGGUAAUGGCUCACCAAGACGAUGAUACGUAGCCGACCUGAGAGGGUGAUCGGCCACAUUGGGACUGAGACACGGCCCAAACUCCUACGGAGGCAGCAGUAGGGAAUCUUCCGCAAUGGACGAAAGUCUGACGGAGCAACGCCGCGUGAGUGAAGAAAAGGUUUUCGGAUCGUAAAACUCUGUUGUCAGAGAAGAACAAGUUGGAGAGUAACUGCUCCAGCCUUGACGGUAUCUGACCAGAAAGCCACGGCUAACUACGUGCCAGCAGCGGC
rnacentral:rRNA from 1 species